ACUCCUACGGGAGGCAGCAGUGGGGAAUAUUGGACAAUGGGCGAAAGCCUGAUCCAGCCAUGCCGCGUGUGUGAAGAAGGUCUUCGGAUUGUAAAGCACUUUAAGUUGGGAGGAAGGGCAGUAAGUUAAUACCUUGCUGUUUUGACGUUACCGACAGAANAAGCACCGGCUAACUCC
rnacentral:rRNA from 1 species